UCGUAUCUAGCGAAUCUGUGGUACCCGCUUCGCUAUCGAUGUACCUGAUUGAUUAUUAGGAUGCGUAAAAUCUAAAACCGUUUCGUGAGCUUCUAAUUUGACCGGUUAACGAGAUGGCGCUCUACGGCUCCGUACGUUUUGCGGCACCUCUGACUCAAAAGUUGACGUUUGACAAUUCGAUGACCGCAAAACGUAUGGCCGGUGCGGGGCCUGCGAGCGAUUAUUAUGGUUGACUCGACUCGAUAUCCCUUUGCGUGCACGACUGCAGAUAAAAUAAUGACUUGAAUUUUGACAACCCUAAAUAACCGAAACGGAUAAUGAUGCCCGACCGAAAGGAGUAUUUUAAAUUGACACGAGUUGCGAAUUACCUUUUUGUACGUGUAUUGUACAACGUUUUACAGUACAUAUGGCCCUUUAAAUUAUCCAUAUAGGCACAUAUUGUGCUAAUUACCGCCCUAGAGCGAUAAAGUAAGAUGUAAAGGUAAUUCGCAACUCGUGUCGAUUUAAAACACUCCCUUCUAUCGGUCGUGCUUUUAUUUAUCGACACUCGUUGCGGAUUUCCUACUUUUCGCGCUUGUAUCGUAAUGUUCUAUUAACUACAAAACACCGACCUAAAAAUAUGCAUUUACUUUUAACAUUUAAAUGUAAUUUUAUUGUAGUGUGUUUUGUAUUGAAAUAUAAGUAUCGUAAUAAAUUAAGUGUGUACCUAUGUAUUGUCAUAAGUCUGCCGUUGUAAUCACAGAAAACAAAAAACUAUAGAAAUGUAACGUACGCUUAAAGCGUGUGGCAUGAUUAAGAUUACGAGUAUUUAAACGCAAUCUGACCUCAGACAAUUGCCAGUUCACUACGAAGCUUAAGCGUCUAACUAAUCCAUUUUAAAUCACAAAAAUGCUUGCUCUGUUGUGGAGGGAAAACCCACUAGCUAAAUAACAAAUAUCACCCAUGAAGGCAUUUCAUGCCACAGAUCGGUCUAAUUCAUAUAAUUUUUUAUCAGCUUUCUGCAUCAGACUUUUUUUAUUACACAAUACAAAAUCAACUUGUUGUGUCGGUAUACGAUAAGAUAUUUAGCUUUAAACGGCGGAAAGUUCUCGAAUAUCUUAAUUACUGCUCGCUACUCAAACGUGCCAGAAAAAUACCAAAAGUGCAAGUGUAAAAGGGAAGGAACAUAGACAAUGUUUCUUUGUAUAUAAAGUUCAAAUUAUCAUGACGGGCCAUGGCCCAUAACCUCUUUUGUAAUAACUAAUAACAUAGUACCUAUGACCCAGGUUUGGCGACGCCGGUUCUUCACCCGGGUUCAGUCGCUUCUCUCGUCUCUCUCCGCUUCUUCGCCUUUGUUUUCCCAUCAUGGUUGUAAUGCUACGAUCUCGUAUCGUCAUCAUAAUAAUAAAUACCCUUUUAUUUUAUUUUAAUUUUAAUAAAUUUCACUGCUUAAUUUUAUUUGACUAUUGUCAGACUAUAAUUUUAAAAUAAAGUAUGUUUAUUGAAUUUAAUUGUAAGUAUUUAAUUUUGAUUAAUAAUUCUUAUGUAAAAAUUCACAUAGAAUCAUUAUUACUCAAAAUAAGGGAAAAUAAAGCCCUAGAUAAAUCGCCUUUACAUAAACAUUGAUGACCUAGAAGUUUUUGUGGCAAAAACGAGUGUUUGAGAAAAUGAAACAUCGAUAAAUUUGUUAUCGGUAAGUCAUAGGUUGAUUAAUUUUUUAAAGUGGUAACUUCUACUUGCUGUAGGUAAGUUACCGAGAAAUUAUAAUAUUGAAAAUCAAUCACAAGGCGGUUAGGGUGUUGCUUAUUUCGUCGAAAUUGAAAUUUUCUAUGUCUCACGCCCUUAAAUUGUUCUCUUUCACUAAAAAACAAAUGUGGAUUUAUUUCAGAAUUUUUAAUUUCGUUUUAGGGGUCGCUACCGAAUUUAAAAAAAUUGGAUCCUUCAUACAUGAUGAUUUUUUUUGAAGUGAAAACUUCUUUAGCGGCGCUGAGCACUUUUUGAGGUGGGGAAAAAAUGAUAAACUCGAUUCAGCGUAACGCGUAAUGCCUAACGUAACGCUGACGUCAUGUGUCGCGGACAAUAUUAUUCACUAAAGAACUUUAGUCAUAACGUAUCAUAAUCAGGUCAAUUAUUUAAAACUGGACUUUUAUUUUAAGCAAUAAAGCUCAAUGUUCUAAUCUUGUACGGGCUGAAAUACGAGAAUCUCACAGUUACAUUCUAACUUUAUAUCACUCAAAUAUAAUUCAAUAAAGCUAAUACAUCUUGAUGAAAUCGCUAAUAAAAGUGAACUCUAGCACUGGUGAAUAAAAUAUAUUUAGAUGCGAGGUCUUCAAGAUAACUUUACAAUUUCUAUUCGAAUUUUAAACAAUUAACGCCACAAAUUUUAGCUCACUGGCCAGCAAUUUCGGAUCGAAAGUUUUUCAAUAGAAAGGAGGAUGGGUCAAUUAUACAUAGUGCUGCAGGCAUUUUGGAUUAGUCAUUGAGUUUUCACUUCUGUCGGUUCUCCCGGAGUGCAACCCGUUGUUCUUUAUAUUUUUCGUUUUUUUUAGUGAGACAGUGAGGCAAAGUAUAUGGAAGCUAUUUAUACGCCGUGUUUUUAUUGAAUUCCGUUAACUUCGGGGUAUGGUUAAGUACCUUUAAGAGAACUAAAUGGCAUAGUUAAUUUUUGAAACAAAUUUUUUUUUGUUUUUUUUGGUUUUUUUUUUGUUUACAAAGUAAUUAAAUGUAGCAUAUAGCGUUGUUGUAACACGGGCAUUACAUUUAACUCAACCAAACAAUUGAAAUCUGUGACAUAUGAAUGUCAUUUCAUACAUCAGUCGACCGAGAUUGUAUUUAAGUUUAGUAGCAAAUGUAUGAACUCAUUCUAAACACUAAUCAAUAUGUAAACCGGCCCUAAGGCAAGUGUAGACGCUUGUAGAGGCAUUAUAGGAAAAAAAUAAAUUAUUGACUAUCUCCGAAAUGGACUUAAUUAGAACAUCGGUGUCUUUGUGAAAGUUACUUGAUUUAAGCUCAGGAAUGCACCCUUGAAAUUAACGGAAAUCAAAAAAAACACGGUGUAUGUAAUUCAAUACUAGGUAUAGCAAUAUAUAUUAUUAAAUAAUUUUUAUUCCUGUUUUAGGAGUGCGCACUGCUAAAUCAAUAUUUAGAACGUCUAAAACACGCAUUAAUAAGCUUUAAAAAAUAGUGGUAUUAUUUUAUGUUAAACGGCACAUUAAUACACCCUGACCCGUUGUCUCAUAAAAAAAACGAGAAAAAAAAAUCUUGUAUGGAGGGUCCAAAUUUUCAAAAUUCGGUACCAACCCCUAAAACGUAAAAAAAACACAUUUGUUUUUUUUUUAGUGAAAGAAAACAAUUGAAGGGGGAUAGACAUAGAAAAUUUCAAUUUCGACGAAAUAAGCAACACCCUAAAGGCGGUAAGUACAUAAUUUCUUUAUUACAUAUAUUUAGUAUUUAAAAAUUUAAACGUAGACUGUAGUAGGAGAAUAGAAAAGAAUAAAAAAUAGAAAACCACCAAUAAGUAUAUCAAAAGAAAACAAGAUAUCGAACAUGUUGUGUAUUUCGCGGUAGCUAUAUUUUUAUAGAAUGUAAUAAAUAUCUAAGUGUAACAAAAAUUCUUUGAAUGCAGUUUUGUUUCUUUUUAAAAAUAAAGGAAUGUCUCCUUUAAGUAAAAUGAGCCAGCUUAAGGAUUUAAGGUAGUUUCCGUCCAGGGCCCGACUUAUCUUUCCACACUGUAUAUUAUCUCAAAAUUAAAGUAAGGACGCUAAGCACGAAGAUUUUCUUACAUUGACUCGCCAUUUCCUACCUGAGGUUAAUGCCACUGUGGGAGUGGGACAGCAAAAUUAUUAUGCCCUGACAGUGAUAGGAAAUGGUUGGUCAAUAUACGAAAUUCUUCGUGCAUAGCGUCUUUACUUUAUUUAUUUUAUUUUAUUAUUUUAGAUAAUACUUCGCCGGAAAGACUGGAAGUUAAAGUUAUUGUAAAUUAUAUAAUCUAAGUUAGAUAUAAUUGUAAUUAAUAGGUUCAGGUAGGUUAUUUAUUAAUUGCAGUUUUAAAAUCUUACAAUGAAACUCAAAUUUCUGUGAAAUAGUUAAGUAGAUGUACCAAACUGAGAUCUGACAAGUAAUUUAGCGCCACUUGCACCAUCCCAUUAACUCAGGGUUAACCGGUUAAACCUGUAGUUACCAUGGUUACCAGUACAAUUUGACAUUGGGUUAACGGUUUAACGGGUGAACCGCGAGUUAGUGGGAUGGUGCAAGUGGCAUGGAUGGUGUAGUAUUAGGUACCUAUUCGAAUUGAAUGUAAUGUAAUUAUCUUGUAAUGCCAAUUUUAAUAAAUGAACAUGUUCAAAGUGUA